rnacentral:miRNA from 1 species
AUUACCACGCUAGCGGAAC